GUGAGGAAUUUUCCGCAAUGGGCGAAAGCCUGACGGAGCAAUGCCGCGUGAAGGAUGAAGGCCUAUGGGUUGUAAACUUCUUUUCUCAGAAAAGAAUUAUGACGGUAUCUGAGGAAUAAGCAUCGGCUAACUCUGUGCCAGCAGCCGCGGUAAGACAGAGGAUGCAAGCGUUAUCCGGAAUGAUUGGGCGUAAAGCGUCUGUAGGUUGUUUAAAAAGUAUUCUGUCAAAGAUUAGGGCUUAACCCUAGAUAGGCAGAAUAAACUUUUAAGCUAGAGUGUGGUAGAGGCAGAGGGAAUUCCCGGUGGAGCGGUGAAAUGCGUAGAUAUCGGGAGGAACACCAAAGGCGAAGGCACUCUGCUGGGCCAAUACUAACACUGAGAGACGAAAGCGAGGGGAGCAAAUGGGAUUAGAUACCCCAGUAGUCC
rnacentral:rRNA from 1 species